rnacentral:misc_RNA from 1 species
AAGUCGUAACAAGGUCUCCGUAGGUGAACCUGCGGAGGGAUCAUUACACAAUACAAUAUGAAGGCUGUCCGCAGCUGGAGUAUUUUAUUACCCUUGUCUUUUGCGCACUUGUUGUUUCCUGGGCGGGUUCGCUCGCCACCAGGACCACCAAAUAAACCUUUUUUAUGCAGUUGCAAUCAGCGUCAGUACAAACAAUGUAAAUCAUUUACAACUUUCAACAACGGAUCUCUUGGCUCCA